rnacentral:rRNA from 1 species
UACGAAGGGAGCUAGCGUUGUUCGGAAUCACUGGGCGUAAAGCGCACGUAGGCGGAUGUGUCAGUCAGGGGUGAAAUCCCGGAGCUCAACUUCGGAACUGCCUUUGAUACAGCACGUCUUGAGUCCGAUAGAGGUGGGUGGAAUUCCUAGUGUAGAGGUGAAAUUCGUAGAUAUUAGGAAGAACACCGAGUGGCGAAGGCGGCUGACUGGAUCCGG